rnacentral:rRNA from 1 species
AUGGGUGCCCGGUGGUGCGGUUUUGGGACCGUGGGAAACCAUUGGUCGGCUGGUCCGGCCCGGCGGCAGCGACGCCCCUGGGCGCCGCCCUUCCUCCUUGGAGGUGCAGCUGAGAUCCCAACCCUAUCCACCCCCGUUCCCCUCCCGGGUGAAAGCCCAAAAUCCUUCUUGGAUUGGGCGGUGACGGCGCGCUGCGCGUCGUGCCCUCCUUGGAGGCGCCGCCUGGAGAGUGUGCGUUCGGGUGAGGGGCGGCAAAGGUGGAGUUGUUGGGCGGCUAUGGUUAUGAGGUGGCUGUGGUUGGUCUGGCUCGUAGGGAAGUCUGUCCCCGCUCCCCUCAAGUGCGGUGCUCCUCGGCGGUGGCGUGUUUGGCUCAGCUCCGGCGGUACGGCGUCUGCGAUCCGGCGGUAG